UUGAACAUUAAAGCCCAGCCCAUUAAUGGAGGAGGGAGCUUUGACAAUUGACAGUUGACACGAUGACAGGGAAUGGGAAUGGCGUCGCCGCGCGCGGUGGGGUGGGGUGGGGAGCAUUCUGGAAAUAGUAAUACUAACUCCGGCGGCCUUGUUUGGAAGAGAAUAAAAAUCUCGCUACCACUCCCAAAGCGUCUCCGUCAUGUUUGGCAGAAUGAAGCUGUCUUGAAGAUUGCUCUGAAUCUUAUAUUCUUAUCUCUCAAGAACUAUACAUACUGAUGGGGGAGAAACUGGUUGAACAGAGUUCACAAACUGCCAGGGUUAGCUGACUAAAUGGAAGAUGUAAACCGGGGAUAAAAUAAUCUAUCCGUUCUACCUGCUUCAAGGAUGAUGUUAGAUGGGGCAAAUGGAUGAUGUGGUCCAUCUCCAUUUAUGAGAAAGAAUAUCAACUCUUUUGGCUUAAUAGUUGUGGAAACCGCCGAAAGCUGGAAAUCCCUCAAGUCACCUUUUGAUACAGAAGAUUGAUUUUGACGUUGAGGAAGUUAGAAUUGAGGGUUGUGUAACCCUUUGUGUAACACCACUACGAACCUUUCAAAGAUUCUUCAGCCACCCAUCUCAUCAUCUGGUUUAUCUUCUUUUACUUUCUUUCUCCACUCAGUGCAUGUUUCAUUGUUGUGGACACACGGAUCAUGCAUCAGGUUGUUGUGGCCCCAUGAGCCAAAUCUGCGGAUGAGCUGGGAAGAAGAGUGAGGAAAGAAAUGGACUUUUCAAGAAUUCAAGGGUCAUCCCCGAUUCCCCAAAA